UAGUGUUGUCCUCGUUCAGGGGGCGGAGCUGCGAGCAGGAAGCGGAGAGGCGUUUUUUUUUAUCAGCGCGCUGGAGGCGGGGCAGGACACUCUGACGAAACAGAUCCUUCCUCGGCUUCACCUGCAGGAAAUGAUCCAUUGACGAUCCCAGGGAGUACUUUCGGCUCACCCUGCGCUCCAUUUGCACACCUGAGAGGACAAAAGGACAUUUUAAAGGAAUAGUUUGACAUUUGGUAAAUAUGCAUAUUUGCUGUCUUGCAGAGUCAAAGAAGAGAAAAUCCAUACCACUUUUAGGUCUCUCUGUUAAAUAUGACACUGAAAAAAACAAGAUAUAACAUCUUCAUUAGUGAAUUUUAGAGAUUUGUGUAGUUUUUGUCACCUUUUUAGCUAAAUUUUUCCACCUGUAUACAGACACAAAGCUAAUAAACAAGUUUUCCAAAAUGUUGAAUUAUUCCUUCAUUGGUGUGCAGAUAUAAAGCAUUGUUUAAUAUGUGACAUAAUCAUUUAUAUUCUCUAGAUUUUCACAUUUAAAUUCUUUAAAUUGCACUAAGGAUGAACAAGCAAGUAAACACCCUAAAUACAUGUUUAAAAAUUUAAAUUGCUCAUAUUAUGCUUUUUGACUUUUUCCGUGUCCUUUGUUGUGUAAUAUAUCUUUUUUGUGCAUGUUAUAGGUUUACAAAGUGAAGUCCACCCCAAAAGGACUUCCCAUCUCCAACAGAAAACCUUGUUCACAAACUGCUCCAAACAGCUCUGUUGUAGUCCAGACUUUACUUCCGUGACGAACGUGCGUCACUUUGUAACACACAUUAUAAUGGAAUAGAAGGGUGAUUCCUCACUCUGUAGCUAAAACAGAAAGCCCAACACAUUGGGUGAAAAGAGGAGCUGCAGCAAUGUGCAGUA